GAUGAACGCUGGCGGCGUGCCUAAUACAUGCAAGUCGAGCGAACGGACGAGAAGCUUGCUUCUCUGAUGUUAGCGGCGGACGGGUGAGUAACACGUGGAUAACCUACCUAUAAGACUGGGAUAACUUCGGGAAACCGGAGCUAAUACCGGAUGAUAUUUUGAACCGCAUGGUUCAAAAGUGAAAGACGGUCUUGCUGUCACUUAUAGAUGGAUCCGCGCUGCAUUAGCUAGUUGGUAAGGUAACGGCUUACCAAGGCAACGAUGCAUAGCCGACCUGAGAGGGUGAUCGGCCACACUGGAACUGAGACACGGUCCAGACUCCUACGGGAGGCAGCAGUAGGGAAUCUUCCGCAAUGGGCGAAAGCCUGAAGGAGCAACGCCGCGUGAGUGAUGAAGGUCUUCGGAUCGUAAAACUCUGUUAUUAGGGAAGGACAUAUGUGUAAGUAACUGUGCACAUCUUGACGGUACCUAAUCAGAAAGCCACGGCUAACUACGUG
rnacentral:rRNA from 1 species